UACGGAGGGGGCUAGCGUUGUUCGGAAUUACUGGGCGUAAAGCGCGCGUAGGCGGCUUUGUAAGUCAGAGGUGAAAGCCUGGAGCUCAACUCCAGAACUGCCUUUGAGACUGCAUCGCUAGAAUCAUGGAGAGGUAAGUGGAAUUCCUGGUGUAGCGGUGAAAUGCGCAGAUAUCAGGAAGAACACCCGUGGCGAAGGCGGCUCUCUGGAACGCAACUGACGCUGAGACGCGAAAGCGUGGGGAGCAAACAGG
rnacentral:rRNA from 1 species